AGAUGAGGUUAAAGUGAGUGGAGCUAUGAGAAAAGUGAAGCUUAAUUUGAUGGAGGCUAGGUUAACAAUGGAGGAAGAGGGAGAGAGAGGUUUCCAAAAUCAGAAAAAGUGAGAAUAAGUGGGGGGAAAGAGAUGUAAUAGAAAGUGGGGCCCAACAUUGAAAAGACCCAAAAUCACAAAAUUUCAAAAACUUACCCGUUACAAACAACACGGCAGUGUUCCUGCACACGGGCGCCCGUGUUAAUCCACUGUUUUAAUUAACACGGCCGUGUGUCACCACACGGGCGCCCGUGUUAAUCCACUGUUUUGAUUAACACGGCCGUGUGUC
rnacentral:lncRNA from 1 species